rnacentral:rRNA from 1 species
GUGAGGAAUAUUGGUCAAUGGGCGGGAGCCUGAACCAGCCAAGUCGCGUGAAGGAAGAAGGAUCUAUGGUUCGUAAACUUCUUUUGCAGGGGAAUAAAGUGCGGGACGUGUCCUGUUUUGUAUGUACCCUGAGAUUAAGGAUCGGCUAACUCCGUGCCAGCAGCCGCGGUAAUACGGAGGAUCCGAGCGUUAUCCGGAUUUCUUGGGUUUAAAGGGUGCGUAGGUGGUUUGAUAAGUCAGCGGUGAAAGUUUGCAGCUUAACUGUAAAAAUGCCGUUGAAACUGUCGGACUUGAGUGUAGAUGAGGUAGGCGGAAUGCGUGGUGUAGCGGUGAAAUGCAUAGAUAUCACGCAGAACUCCGAUUGCGAAGGCAGCUUACUAAGCUACAACUGACACUGAAGCACGAAAGCGUGGGGAUCAAACAGGAUUAGAAACCCCAGUAGUCC